GAACCUUACCAGGACUUGACAUGGGAGAGCCGCAGCCAGAAAUGGUCGUUUCCGCAAGGACUCUUUGCACAGGUGCUGCAUGGCUGUCGUCAGCUCGUGUCGUGAGAUGUUGGGUUAAGUCCCGCAACGAGCGCAACCCUCGCCUUUAGUUGCCAGCACGUUUGGGUGGGCACUCUAAAGGAACUGCCGGUGACAAGCCGGAGGAAGGUGGGGAUGACGUCAAGUCCUCAUGGCCCUUAUGUCCUGGGCUACACACGUGCUACAAUGGCGGUGACAGCGGGAAGCCAGGUCGCAAGGCCGAGCCGAUCCCGAAAAGCCGUCUCAGUUCAGAUUGCACUCUGCAACUCGGGUGCAUGAAGGUGGAAUCGCUAGUAAUCGUGGAUCAGCAUGCCACGGUGAAUACGUUCCCGGGCCUUGUCACACCGA
rnacentral:rRNA from 1 species